rnacentral:rRNA from 1 species
UACGUAGGGUGCAAGCGUUAUCCGGAAUUAUUGGGCGUAAAGCGCGCGUAGGUGGUUUGUUAAGUUGAAUGUGAAAUCCCCGGGCUCAACCUGGGAACUGCAUGCAAAACUGGCAAGCUAGAGUAUGGUAGAGGGUGGCGGAAUUUCCUGUGUAGCGGUGAAAUGCGUAGAUAAUAGGAAGGAACACCAGUGGCGAAGGCGACCACCUGGACUGAUACUGACACUGGAGGUGCGAAAGCGUGGGGAGCAA